UACGGAGGGUGCAAGCGUUGUCCGGAUUUAUUGGGUUUAAAGGGUGCGUAGGCGGCCCUGUAAGUCAGUGGUGAAACCCUUGGGCUUAACCCAAGGAGUGCCAUUGAUACUGCAGGGCUUGGGUCAUCUUUGGGCGGGCGGAAUGGAUGGUGUAGCGGUGAAAUUCGUAGAUAUCGGGAGGAACACCAGUGGCGAAGGCGGCGAUCUGGGAAGAUACUGACGCUGAGGUGCGAAAGCGUGGGGAGCAAACAGG
rnacentral:rRNA from 1 species